rnacentral:rRNA from 1 species
GUGUACCUACCUCUGUUGCUUUGGCGGGCCGCGGUCCUCCGCGGCCGCCCCCCUCCCCGGGGGGGUGGCCAGCGCCCGCCAGAGGACCAUCAAACUCCAGUCAGUAAACGAUGCAGUCUGAAAAACAUUUAAUAAACUAAAACUUUCAACAACGGAUCUCUUGGUUCUGGCAUCGAUGAAGAACGCAGCGAAAUGCGAUAAGUAAUGUGAAUUGCAGAAUUCAGUGAAUCAUCGAAUCUUUGAACGCACAUUGCGCCCUUUGGUAUUCCGAAGGGCAUGCCUGUUCGAGCGUCAUUACAACCCUCAAGCUCUGCUUGGUAUUGGGCACCGUCCUUUGCGGGCGCGCCUCAAAGACCUCGGCGGUGGCGUCUUGCCUCAAGCGUAGUAGAACAUACAUCUCGCUUCGGAGCGCAGGGCGUCGCCCGCCGGACGAACCUUCUGAACUUUUCUCAAGGUUGACCUCGGAUCAGGUAGGGAUACCCGCUGAACUUAAGCAUAU